rnacentral:sRNA from 1 species
GCCAGGCACGGUGGAGCAUGCCUGUAAUCCCAGCGACUUGGGAGGCUGAGGCAGGAGGAGUGCAAGUACAAGGCCAGCCUCAGCAAUUUAGCAAGGCCCUAAGUGACUUAGUGAGACCUCGUCUCAA